rnacentral:rRNA from 1 species
AUUGAACGCUGGCGGCAUGCCUUACACAUGCAAGUCGAACGGUAGAGUAGCAAUACUUGAGAGUGGCGAACGGGUGAGUAAUAUAUCGGAACGUGCCCAGUCGUGGGGGAUAACGUAGAGAAAUUUACGCUAAUACCGCAUACGAUCUAAGGAUGAAAGCGGGGGAUUCGCAAGAACCUCGCGCGAUUGGAGCGGCUGAUAUCAGAUUAGGUUGUUGGUGAGGUAAAAGACUCACCAAGCCGACGAUCUGUAGCUGGUUUGAGAGAACGACCAGCCACACUGGGACUGAGACACGGCCCAGACUCCUACGGGAGGCAGCAGUGGGGAAUUUUGGACAAUGGCGAAAGACCUGAUCCAGCAAUGCCGCGUGCA